rnacentral:rRNA from 1 species
AGUGAACGCUGGCGGCGUGCCUAAUACAUGCAAGUCGAACGAACGAAUAAGAGCCUGCUCUUAUAAGUUAGUGGCGCACGGGUGAGUAAUAUAUAGCUAAUCUGCCUCUUAGUAGAGGAUAACAGUCGGAAACGAUUGCUAAUACUCUAUACUUCUGCUUUACAUAAGUAAAGUAGAGAAAGUUUUUCGCUAAGAGAUGAGGCUAUACUGUAUCAGCUAGUUGGUAAGGUAACGGCUUACCAAGGCUAUGACGCAUAACUGGUCUGAGAGGAUGAUCAGUCACAUUGGAACUGAGACACGGUCCAAACUCCUACGGGAGGCAGCAGAAGGGAAUAGUGCGCCAUGGGGGAAACCCUGACGCAGCAACGCCGCGUGGAGGAUGACACUUUUCGGAGCGUAAACUCCUUUUAUCGGGAAAGAAUAAUGACGGUACCCGAUGAAUAAGCACCGGCUAACUCCGUG